GACGAACGCUGGCGGCGUGCUUAACACAUGCAAGUCGUACGGUAAGGCCCUUUCGGGGGUACACGAGUGGCGAACGGGUGAGUAACACGUGAGUAACCUGCCCACAACUUUUGGAUAACGCUAGGAAACUGGUGCUAAUACUGGAUAUGUGCUCCUGCUGCAGGGUGGGGGUUGGAAAGCUCCGGCGGUUGUGGAUGGACUCGCGGCCUAUCAGCUUGUUGGUGGGGUAGUGGCCUACCAAGGCGGCGACGGGUAGCCGGCCUGAGAGGGUGACCGGCCACAUUGGGACUGAGAUACGGCCCAGACUCCUACGGGAGGCAGCAGUGGGGAAUAUUGCACAAUGGGCGCAAGCCUGAUGCAGCAACGCCGCGUGCGGGAUGACGGCCUUCGGGUUGUAAACCGCUUUCAGCAGGGACGAAGCUUUUUGUGACGGUACCUGCAGAAGAAGCACCGGCUAACUACGUG
rnacentral:rRNA from 1 species